rnacentral:rRNA from 1 species
CCUACGGGUGGCAGCAGUGAGGAAUAUUGGUCAAUGGCCGGAAGGCUGAACCAGCCAUGCCGCGUGAAGGGCAGUGCCCUAUGGGCGUUAAACUUCUUUUGUGCGGGAGCAAUAAUGGUCACGUGUGGCCAGACGAGAGUACCGUACGAAUAAGCAUCGGCUAACUCCGUGCCAGCAGCCGCGGUAAUACGGGGGAUGCAAGCGUUAUCCGGAUUUAUUGGGUUUAAAGGGUGCGUAGACUGUGAGGUAAGUCAGCGGUGAAAUGCCCCCGCUCAACGGGGUGAAGUGCCAUUGAUACUGCCUGGCUGGAGUGCUGAUGCCGUGAGAGGAAUGUGUGGUGUAGCGGUGAAAUGCAUAGAUAUCACGCAGAACACCGAUUGCGAAGGCAUCUCACGAAUCCGCGAUUGACGCUGAUGCACGAAAGCGUGGGUAUCAAACAGGAUUAGAUACCCCAGUAGUC